rnacentral:rRNA from 1 species
ACACUCCUACGGGAGGCAGCAGUGGGGAAUAUUGGACAAUGGGCGCAAGCCUGAUCCAGCCAUGCCGCGUGAGUGAUGAAGGCCCUAGGGUUGUAAAGCUCUUUCACCGGUGAAGAUAAUGACGGUAACCGGAGAAGAAGCCCCGGCUAACUUCGUGCCAGCAGCCGCGGUAAUACGAAGGGGGCUAGCGUUGUUCGGAUUUACUGGGCGUAAAGCGCACGUAGGCGGACUAUUAAGUCAGGGGUGAAAUCCCGGGGCUCAACCCCGGAACUGCCUUUGAUACUGGUAGUCUUGAGUUCGAGAGAGGUGAGUGGAAUUCCGAGUGUAGAGGUGAAAUUCGUAGAUAUUCGGAGGAACACCAGUGGCGAAGGCGGCUCACUGGCUCGAUACUGACGCUGAGGUGCGAAAGCGUGGGGAGCAAAUAGGAUUAGAUACCCUGGUAGUCCCAUG